UGGAGGUUGUGCCCUUGAGGCGUGGCUUCCGGAGCUAACGCGUUAAGUCGACCGCCUGGGGAGUACGGCCGCAAGGUUAAAACUCAAAUGAAUUGACGGGGGCCCGCACAAGCGGUGGAGCAUGUGGUUUAAUUCGAUGCAACGCGAAGAACCUUACCUGGUCUUGACAUCCACAGAACUUUCCAGAGAUGGAUUGGUGCCUUCGGGAACUGUGAGACAGGUGCUGCAUGGCUGUCGUCAGCUCGUGUUGUGAAAUGUUGGGUUAAGUCCCGCAACGAGCGCAACCCUUAUCCUUUGUUGCCAGCGGUCCGGCCGGGAACUCAAAGGA
rnacentral:rRNA from 1 species